UUCAGUGAUACAUGAUUUCUUUUUCUGUUCUUUUUUUUGAGAUACGUCAUUUCUGAGAGUGAAGUGGACAAUUCCUAGAAUUGCUUGGGAACUGAAAUCUGCUGAGUAAUCACAUGACCUCAGGCAGGAGAACUAUUUUGACCACUGCCAAGAGAAGUGGUUUAGAGAUCAAAUUUUAUUACAGAAUGCAAUGUAGACUACCUGGUGCUUUUUUGCUAUUUGAACAAUCCUAUAUCACAUGAUGACCCCACCACUCUGGGUCUGAGGCUUUCCUCCCUGGGAAAUCUGGACCUGCGGUUAGAGCCCUGUGGUCAGGGAAGCCUGUGACCCUGUGUGUGUCAUGGGAAACAUACACAGGUUUCCUGGAUGAUUUUCCCUGUGAACAAAAGCAGAAAUCCACCAAGAGGACAAGGAAGUAUGGUUGACUGUAUGAAAACAUGAGGAAAUAGGACUAAGGACAGAAGAAAGAGGGGGAGCAGGAGGAGGAGAAAGAGAUGAGAAGGAAACAAAGUCAGAUACAAAACCAGUUAAAAGCGAAUCCGGGACCCAAAGGAAAACCAGCAACAAAAGAAAAAUGUACAGCUGAUGUUGAGGU